rnacentral:rRNA from 1 species
UACGUAGGGUGCGAGCGUUACUCGGAAUUACUGGGCGUAAAGCGCACGUAGGCGGACUAUUAAGUCAGGGGUGAAAUCCCGGGGCUCAACCCCGGAACUGCCUUUGAUACUGGUAGUCUCGAGUCCGGAAGAGGUGAGUGGAAUUCCGAGUGUAGAGGUGAAAUUCGUAGAUAUUCGGAGGAACACCAGUGGCGAAGGCGGCUCACUGGUCCGGUACUGACGCUGAGGUGCGAAAGCGUGGGGAGCAAACAGG